rnacentral:tRNA from 1 species
UCCCUGGUGGCUCAGUGGUAAAGAAUCUGCCUGCCAAUGCAGGAGACUCGGGUUCAAUCCCUGAUCCGGGAA